AUUGAACGCUGGCGGCAGGCGUAACACAUGCAAGUCGAGCGAGAGGCGGACGGGUGAGUAAUGUAUGGGGACUGCCCGAUAGAGGGGGAUAACUACUGGAAACGGUAGCUAAUACCGCAUACUAUCGGAUAACCCAUAUGGGAUUAGCUAGUAGGUGAGGUAAUGGCUAACCUAGGCGACGAUCCCUAGCUGGUCUGAGAGGAUGAUCAGCCACACUGGAACUGGGACACGGCCCAGACUCCGACGGAGGCAGCAGUGGGGAAGAUUGCACAAUGGGCGAAAGCCGUAUACAGCCAUGCCGCUUGUAUGAAGAAGGCCCUAGGGUUGUAAAGUACUUUCAGUCGGGAGGCGUUACCGACAGAAGAAGCACCGGCUAACUCCGUGCCAGCAGCCGCGGUAAUUC
rnacentral:rRNA from 1 species